UCAUCUGGAAAGAUGAAUCAAAGAAGGUAAUAAUCCUGUAGUCGAAAAUGUUGUCUCUCUUGAGUGGAUCCUGAGUACGACGGAGCACGUGAAAUUCCGUCGGAAUCUGGGAGGACCAUCUCCUAAGGCUAAAUACUCUCUAGUGACCGAUAGCGAACCAGUACCGUGAGGGAAAGGUGAAAAGCACCCCGGAAGGGGAGUGAAAUAGAACCUGAAACCGUGUGCUUACAAGUAGUCAGAGCCCGUUAAUGGGUGAUAGCGUGCCUUUUGUAGAAUGAACCGGCGAGUUACGAUUUGAUGCAAGGUUAAGCAGUAAAUGUGGAGCCGUAGCGAAAGCGAGUCUGAAUAGGGCGUUUAGUAUUUGGUCGUAGACCCGAAACCAGGUGAUCUACCCUUGGUCAGGUUGAAGUUCAGGUAACACUGAAUGGAGGACCGAACCGACUUACGUUGAAAAGUGAGCGGAUGAACUGAGGGUAGCGGAGAAAUUCCAAUCGAACCUGGAGAUAGCUGGUUCUCUCCGAAAUAGCUUUAGGGCUAGCCUCAAGUGAUGAUUAUUGGAGGUAGAGCACUGUUUGGACGAGGGGCCCCUCUCGGGUUACCGAAUUCAGACAAACUCCGAAUGCCAAUUAAUUUAACUUGGGAGUCAGAACAUGGGUGAUAAGGUCCGUGUUCGAAAGGGAAACAGCCCAGACCACCAGCUAAGGUCCCAAAAUAUAUGUUAAGUGGAAAAGGAUGUGGCGUUGCCCAGACAACUAGGAUGUUGGCUUAGAAGCAGCCAUCAUUUAAAGAGUGCGUAAUAGCUCACUAGUCGAGUGACACUGCGCCGAAAAUGUACCGGGGCUAAACAUAUUACCGAAGCUGUGGAUUGUCCUUUGGACAAUGGUAGGAGAGCGUUCUAAGGGCGUUGAAGCAUGAUCGUAAGGACAUGUGGAGCGCUUAGAAGUGAGAAUGCCGGUGUGAGUAGCGAAAGACGGGUGAGAAUCCCGUCCACCGAUUGACUAAGGUUUCCAGAGGAAGGCUCGUCCGCUCUGGGUUAGUCGGGUCCUAAGCUGAGGCCGACAGGCGUAGGCGAUGGAUAACAGGUUGAUAUUCCUGUACCACCUAUAAUCGUUUUAAUCGAUGGGGGGACGCAGUAGGAUAGGCGAAGCGUGCGAUUGGAUUGCACGUCUAAGCAGUAAGGCUGAGUAUUAGGCAAAUCCGGUACUCAUUAAGGCUGAGCUGUGAUGGGGAGAAGACAUUGUGUCUUCGAGUCGUUGAUUUCACACUGCCGAGAAAAGCCUCUAGAUAGAAAAUAGGUGCCCGUACCGCAAACCGACACAGGUAGUCAAGAUGAGAAUUCUAAGGUGAGCGAGCGAACUCUCGUUAAGGAACUCGGCAAAAUGACCCCGUAACUUCGGGAGAAGGGGUGCUCUUUAGGGUUAACGCCCAGAAGAGCCGCAGUGAAUAGGCCCAAGCGACUGUUUAUCAAAAACACAGGUCUCUGCUAAACCGUAAGGUGAUGUAUAGGGGCUGACGCCUGCCCGGUGCUGGAAGGUUAAGAGGAGUGGUUAGCUUCUGCGAAGCUACGAAUCGAAGCCCCAGUAAACGGCGGCCGUAACUAUAACGGUCCUAAGGUAGCGAAAUUCCUUGUCGGGUAAGUUCCGACCCGCACGAAAGGCGUAACGAUUUGGGCACUGUCUCAACGAGAGACUCGGUGAAAUCAUAGUACCUGUGAAGAUGCAGGUUACCCGCGACAGGACGGAAAGACCCCGUGGAGCUUUACUGUAGCCUGAUAUUGAAAUUCGGCACAGCUUGUACAGGAUAGGUAGGAGCCUUUGAAACGUGAGCGCUAGCUUACGUGGAGGCGCUGGUGGGAUACUACCCUAGCUGUGUUGGCUUUCUAACCCGCACCACUUAUCGUGGUGGGAGACAGUGUCAGGCGGGCAGUUUGACUGGGGCGGUCGCCUCCUAAAAGGUAACGGAGGCGCUCAAAGGUUCCCUCAGAAUGGUUGGAAAUCAUUCAUAGAGUGUAAAGGCAUAAGGGAGCUUGACUGCGAGACCUACAAG
rnacentral:rRNA from 1 species